AUAUCUUUAGCUUAAUGGUAUAGCAUUUGUCUACGAAACUAAAGAUUAUUGGUUCAAUUCCAAUAAGAUGUA
rnacentral:tRNA from 1 species